CUCUAUUUUUAACAGAGAAUGUCCAUUUUGUAUUGGCUCAAGUUAUUCUUAACAUAAGCAUCUCUUAACUUUUCUUUGUUCAUUAAAGUUAUCCAUUAUGACAUUAUAGCAAAUUCACCAGUCCUUUAAAAUUUACAGCUAUUAAAUAUACUUUUGACAUCACAGGCUGGUUAGGGUUACAUCACACUUCGACUAUAAAAUGAGAAUUAUGGUUCCUAGUCUUAGAAAAAUUUAUGUAUCACAUAAUUUUGCAUAUGAUUUUGGAGAUUUGAAGUCAUACUGGUCAAAAACUUCUACCAUAAAGAAUGCUUGGGUUAAAAUGAACCUAUGAUUCUAAGGUAUUAAUGCACUUGCUACUAUAUAAGUUGCUAUUAGUCCUACGGAGGUAAUUCAGACACAAUGUACAUUAGUCACACUUCAUGGAGGUGGGGGCAGGGGGUGUAGGUAUUUA
rnacentral:lncRNA from 1 species